GUGAGGAAUAUUGGACAAUGGGCGCAAGCCUGAUCCAGCCAUGCCGCGUGCAGGAAGACGCAUCUAUGGUGUGUAAACUGCUUUUGUACGGGAAGAAACACUCCCUCGUGAGGGAGCUUGACUGUACCGUAAGAAUAAGGAUCGGCCAACUCCGUGCCAGCAGCCGCGGUAAUACGGAGGAUCCAAGCGUUAUCCGGAAUCAUUGGGUUUAAAGGGUCCGUAGGCGGUUUAAUAAGUCUGUGGUGAAAUCCCAUUGCUCAACGAUGGAACGGCCAUGGAUACUGUUAGACUUGAAUUACAAGGAAGUAACUAGAAUAUGUAGUGUAGCGGUGAAAUGCUUAGAUAUGACAUAGAAUACCAAUUGCGAAGGCAGGUUACUACUUGUGGAUUGACGCUGAUGGACGAAAGCGUGGGGAGCGAACAGGAUUAGAAACCCGAGUAGUCC
rnacentral:rRNA from 1 species